rnacentral:rRNA from 1 species
GAAUUCGCCCUUAGAGUUUGAUCCUGGCUCAGGACGAACGCUGGCGGCGCGCCUAACACAUGCAAGUCGAACGGAGCUUAGAGAGCUUGCUUUUUAAGCUUAGUGGCGAACGGGUGAGUAACGCGUGAGUAACCUGCCCUAGAGUGGGGGACAACAGUUGGAAACGACUGCUAAUACCGCAUAAGCCCACGGUACCGCAUGGCACUGAGGGAAAAGGAUUUAUUCGCUUUAGGAUGGACUCGCGUCCAAUUAGCUAGUUGGUGAGGUAACGGCCCACCAAGGCGACGAUUGGUAGCCGGACUGAGAGGUUGAACGGCCACAUUGGGACUGAGACACGGCCCAGACUCCUACGGGAGGCAGCAGUGGGGGAUAUUGCACAAUGGGGGAAACCCUGAUGCAGCGACGCCGCGUGGAGGAAGAAGGUUUUCGGAUUGUAAACUCCUGUCGUUAGGGACGAUAAUGACGGUACCUAACAAGAAAGCACCGGCUAACUACGUGCCAGCAGCCGCGGUAAAACGUAGGGUGCAAGCGUUGUCCGGAAUUACUGGGUGUAAAGGGAGCGCAGGCGGGAAGACAAGUUGGAAGUGAAAACCAUGGGCUCAACCCAUGAAUUGCUUUCAAAACUGUUUUUCUUGAGUAGUGCAGAGGUAGAUGGAAUUCCCGGUGUAGCGGUGGAAUGCGUAGAUAUCGGGAGGAACACCAGUGGCGAAGGCGGUCUACUGGGCACCAACUGACGCUGAGGCUCGAAAGCAUGGGUAGCAAACAGGAUUAGAUACCCUGGUAGUCCAUGCCGUAAACGAUGAU